CUCUCUCGUCUUCCAUUCCCCACGCCGCCCGUCCACACUGUCCGGCGGCGCGUGGAUCCGGCCGGAGACGCCGUCCCUGCGGGUUGUUUCGAAGGUUACGGCCGAUGCGGCGGCGGCGUUGACCGGACGGCACCACGACUAGUCGAGCUCAGCUCCCGUGCCCCGUAGUGCUUCUCCGACCCGGACCGCCUCGGUCUCCACCGCCGGUUGACAUGAAGGUCUGGCAGAGGAGAUGUCCUAUUAACAUCAAGUCAGAGAUGAUCCUGUCACGCCAACAUAUCAAAGUCUAGUCGAGAGGGAUGAAGCAAUGACUGUUCGUCUGCAGGUUCCAGGUGAAUGGCAGCCUUGACUACUGGCUGCAUCAGCAGGAGGGGGAAAAGAUGGGCAUUGCCAUCGGGGUGGACAAAGGGAUCUGCCACUUGCACCACGGCUGCAAUAAGCCGAUUGCCCAGCACAACAUCUUGCUUCAUCAGAAUUUCAAGGCCCUGAUAUAGCCAGUUUUGGCACUGCAACCAUGAAUAUGGCCCGGCUCAACCAACCGUUGCCAAUCAAGGACCUGUCUCUUGGUAACUUUGGUUAUGCUGCUCCAGGGAUGUUGGGCGAUUGUUGCACACAAUCGUAAUGGAGUUCUUUCUUAACUAGCUUGGUCUUCUAACUUGUACUGGUUUUAACUGAUUGCUUACUUGCAGAAUCUGGUACUGCGCCAAUCAUGAACCAGCGGCAAUCACGCAAUUCUGUCUUAACUAGUAACUUAUUCCUUCUAACUAGUACUGAUAUUAAUCGCGGCAAGCCAGGUGACGGAAAAGGUAGACGUUUACAGCUUUGGGGUGGUGCUGCUCCCUGCUGGAGCUCAUCACCGGACAGGUGGCCAAUGGACAAUUGGCAGCUGGGGCACGUGAGAAAUGCGAUGAACUGAUGGCAAACCAUCUGAAAACGUUCAAGAUUGCCGUACGUGGACAAGGGCAUCCCUGAUCAAGCGCGAUACAUGAAGUAGAUGACAGCCGUGUUCAGGCUGGGAGUGGAUUGCACCGUCAAGGAUCGGCAGAAAAGGCCGUCCAAGAAGAUGGCUCUCAAACGUCUCAACCGCUACGGUGGGCGUGCCCUAUUCCAUGGCCUCCCCACCUGCUAUCCACUAUACAUCACCAGUGAGGAUGUAGGCAAAUCGAAUGAGAAAGUGGCAUGUGAGCUCUCCUCAGCUGAUGAACUGCCAUUGGCAGAGUUUAUGUUCAGGGAGGAUGAUCCAGGAGAUCAGAUGGGGGACUUUGCUUUCUUGCUUUGUUUGGCAAGAAAAGCUUCAGGAUGCCCCAACCAAAGCCGAGGGAGGAUCUUGACCUCUACGAGCUGCAAGAGGCAGGGCGGAGGGUUGCGAACGUCCAAAUUGAAUGCAAGGAUGCGGUGACAUGCUUGCUUCAGAACUGGAUACUAAUGCUGAAACGUGUUCUUCUGGCCUUACCAAUGACAGAUUCAGAUCAGACUGUUGAAUGAGUUGCGAACUCUUUCCAACCCGAUGUAAUGGAUGUCGUACUCGUUGGCCAGAGUGUUCAUGUUCCACCAGAUCAUGGAGAUGACGCAGGUGUUUGAAGGCAGCUUGACAGGAUCAUCAGGCUGCUGUUGGAGGUCCUGCAGCAGUUGAUCCUGGUGCCCAGUCGAUCGGCGAGGCCCAGCUCGAAGCGAAGCUCGAGGAGUCGAUGAGUAAGAUCAGAAGGGAUACCAUUGUCUGUGGAAUCCCUGUAAUUGCAUCUCCUCCUGAUGAUGUAGUGUGGUUUCGUUUAAUCAGAGGAGCUGAUGUGUGUAGAUGGAAGGCUAUCCUCAUUUGCUCCUGUUAUUGACAAGUGUUGUGCAGCAAGCUGCAUUGCCUGUGCACCAUAACACACAACAUUGUGCCAUCAUGGCAGUUAAAAUUUUGCGAGUUUAUAGCUAGGUUGUAGGAGUAGUAAGUUGUAGAAUUAAAUUGAUUGGAGUUGGUGCGGGGAUGCAAUAUGUGUUGAUUUCAUUUUGAUGUACACAUAAACUAGCUAGUACUACAAUGCUACCUGAAAUUCAUUCGGAUAUCAAAAUUUAAAUUGGACGAAUAUGUUUAUGUUUU